rnacentral:rRNA from 1 species
GAUGAACGCUGGCGGCGUGCCUAAUACAUGCAAGUCGAGCGAACAGACGAGGAGCUUGCUCCUCUGACGUUAGCGGCGGACGGGUGAGUAACACGUGGAUAACCUACCUAUAAGACUGGGAUAACUUCGGGAAACCGGAGCUAAUACCGGAUAAUAUAUUGAACCGCAUGGUUCAAUAGUGAAAGACGGUUUUGCUGUCACUUAUAGAUGGAUCCGCGCCGCAUUAGCUAGUUGGUAAGGUAACGGCUUACCAAGGCAACGAUGCGUAGCCGACCUGAGAGGGUGGUCGGCCACACGGGAACUGAGACACGGUCCAGACUCCUACGGGAGGCAGCAGUAGGGAAUCUUCCGCAAUGGGCGAAAGCCUGGCGGAGCAACGCCGCGUGAGUGAUGAAGGUCUUCGGAUCGUAAAACUCUGUUAUUAGGGAAGAACAAAUGUGUAAGUAACUAUGCACGUCUUGACGGUACCUAAUCAGAAAGCCACGGCUAACUACGUG